UGCCAACCAUAGAGAUGGGAGUCAAGGAAAGACUGAGAGUCGUUCAAAUCCUAAAUCCUUCUGAUUUCUUUCCCCACCCAGAACACCGGCCUGUAAUUAGUGCCUGUCUCUGUAGUACGCAAAACCAAACUUUAUAAACUACAGGGCGCAAGUAAUGCCUAAUCUGUUUGAGAUGCUCUGUGUCAGGAUCUAGGCUAGCUGAGGCGGCAAAGUAGCCUUGUCCCUGAAUUUAAGGUAACUUGGUUUUGGUAGAAAGAGCUUGUGUUUGAAAGACCAGUGUGUAGCCAGAUCCUGACUUUGUUAUGAAUUUGCCAAGUGAUCCUGAUCACUUAGCCGUUCUAAACCUCAGUUUCGGGGCGGGGGGGGAGUAUAAGGAUUAGAUGAAUUAACGUCAAUCACCUGGCACAUUCUGAGUAGUAAACAUUUAAAGGACUGGUAGGACUGAUGUGGUGUGGAAGAUUUAUGUGAUUGCAACACUUUAAUGAAUGCUAACAUGGCUGUAAACAGGCUACUUUUGAACUCUAAGGAGAGAAGGCCUAACUUUGCACAAACUGUAAGUACUUGUAAGUAUAGAGCAUAUACUGUGAGCCAGGCGUAAUAUUAUUCCCAACUGGACAAGAAGAAUAUGUCCCUGACCUCUGGGUUUGAUUUAUUGGGAAGGGGCUGGAAAACAGACCCGCAAUUAUCUGGUUCUCUCUACUUCCUUUAUAUGUUUUCCUUAGGGAUUUUUGUCUUUUCCUCCUAACUUAACAAGGAAAGUUUAUUGUUUUAUGUCAUAAAGAAAGCAUUUCAGGUUUCCAAAGGAGAGAGGUUGGGGGAUGGGGGGAUGCGCUGGGGGUUUGGGAUGGAAAUGCUAUAAAAUUGGGUUGUGAUGGUCAUUGUACAACUAUAAAUGUAAUACAUUCAUUGAGUAAUAUUUAAAAAAAAGCAUUUCAGCCUGAGUUGGUAGUUGAAUAGGACUCUUAUUUUCAGUAUUUUCUAUGUCUUUAUUUAAAUUUAAACAUUCCUCUUUCCUCUUUGACCCAAAACUAAUUCUUUUGGCAAGUGUUUUGUAACCUCUGUAUGACAUUUGACUUAAAAAAACCCAAAAAAUAGGAGUUCCCGUCAUAGCUCAGCAGUGAGGAACCGGACUAGUAUCCGUGAGGAUGCGGGUUGGAUCCCUGGCCUUGCUCAGUGGCAAGUGCUGUGGCUGUGGUGUAGGCCGGCAGCUACACCUCGAAUGUGACCCCUAGCCUGGGAAUUUCCAUAUGCUGCAGGUGUGACCCUAAAAAAGACAAAAAAUAAAAUAAAAAACAAAGAACGCUCAAAGUAAGAGCGGUGGUUGAGUUUAUUCAUUCUUACUGAGGACUCUAGCCCAGGAGACAGCCCAUCAGAUAGCUCUGAGAAACUGUUCUGAGGAAGUAAGGGGGGAGCCAAGAGAUAUGUAAUGUUUUUCCCCUACGAAAGAAAGCCGUGUGGGCCAAACUGAUACGGAUAAAGUAGAAGAGUUACACAAGUAGUUGUAGAAGUCCCAGUAGGGCACCAGAGAUAGAGAGGGAAAUUGAGGGAACUUUGGGAGACAAAGUAAAUCCGAGAAAGGCAUCAGAACAUCUUGGAAUGAAGCAGACUUGCUUAACUAUAAAACCAUCAAUAAAAGCACGAGAUAGGCCUCAGGGCAUUAAGUGAAAGAUAAGAUGAGGCCUGCAUUCAAGUUCAGCGGGAUAAUGAUCCUUGGGAGCAAGGACAGGAAUUUAAGGGAAAGAUGCCAAAGUAGGAGACCUUCACUGUACGGGAAGCUGAGGUGACUCAAUGUAUUUUAGCAUUUGUUGCCGCCCUUGUGCUGAUUGGAAUAAGCACCCUUACUAUCCUGGUUUGACCUCAUAGGGUCAAGUCCCCUCUCACCGAAGGCAUAGAAGGAGCUAGUGAUGUAAGCCUGACCUCUACUCGAAGAAUGAGGAAGAAGGGGGUCUUUUCCCACUCCUCACUCUCCUUGGAUUAUAAAAAUCUAGCCCCCCUCAUCCUCCUCACCUGCCCACUUGCAUCUCUCACAAGCAUCCUAUCUUAAUAAAUCUAUUGCUUGCCUAUCACUUUGUCCCUCCGUGAAUUUCUUCUGUGCUGAGACACAAAGAGCCUCAGUAAGUCCAGACACCAGGUGAGUGGUUCUGAUUUAAAGAAUCGUGGGUUCACGAAACACCUCAUAAAAGCUGACCUUCCCCUUAUCUUCUCAGACUUGCUUAUAGCCAUGACACAGGUUCAAUCCCUGGCCCAGGAACUUCUGCCUACAGUGGGUGUGAUCCCCACCCUCCAAAAGGGAGACAUGACAUCCUCGCCAACGCUGAGGCUCAAUCUCUGCCCCCUCUGAUUACUCCUUCUCUCGCUCGCAGAGAAAACCACUGUCCUGAAUUCUGAGUUUGUCUGGUUUUUGCUUUUGCUUCAUGGAUUUGUAUCGUGUUUAGUUUGACCUGACUUUGAGCUUUAUAGAAAUAGAAUAAACCGUAGUGGUCUCCUACCUCCAGCUAGUGUGCAGGCCGUGUCCGAGCCCAGCUCAGCUGAUCAGCGUGACCUUGGAGGAGCUGCUUGCCAUCUUCACCAGUGUGCUGGGGCGCUCGCCCUUUCUCCUUGUUGUUUCCCAUCACGACGUGGCCGUCAGGGGUUCCAAGAAGCUGGAAUGAGAGUAGUGCCUUCUCCGCCUCCAGGAUGUAAUCUGAGGGUGCUGACUGAGGUCUCUGGGGGGCUUGUUUGGGCUGGAACAUCCGAAACGGCUCACCCAGGUGGCAGGUGGCCCAGAGCGAUUCAUUGGAACAACUCGCUUCUCCCCACGUGACCUGAGUUUGGCUUGGGCUUCUCCCAGCAUGGCAGCUGGCUUCCAAGAGGAAGCCUCCCAGAGCAAGUCGUCUACAAGGAAGGAAAUGGAAGUUGCCAAGCCUCCUAACCCUGGGCUGGGAAAUCCUAGAAUGCCGCUUCUGGUCAAAACCAGUCAGGGGUCAGUCCAGGUUCAAAGGGAAGGGAAACAGCCCUCCCUUUGGAGGGGAAGAGCCACCUGCGCAUAUACAGAGGGCAAGUAUUGUUUGCGAUCGCCUUGGGAAACUAGCUCCCGCCACAGAGUAGAGCGCCUGGCCUCACCUGGGUAGGUGCACAGUCAGGGGAGGGUCACCACAUCUUAGCACAUCGGCCCCUCUUGCAAGGCUGGCCCUCCUUCCUAAUGGAUCACCCGCUCUAUGGUCCUGGCAGUGAGAACGGCUGAAACUAAGCAGGAGCUGGGAAUUAGGGACGUGAAGAAAUGCAGAAACAAGGGAAGUGCAGUUAAACGAGAAGAGAAAUGACUUUCAUUCAGGGAUCAGCGUCCUUGCUCCUCCUCAAGGGAUAUACGUAAUAGUACAUCAUCGGACUCAGAUCUCCGAGUUGUUCUGCAGGAACUGAGACUUGCCCACCCAGGGGGAUGGUGAACCCUAGCAGGCAGACCCCGCACCCGACGGAGGAUGACGAUUCCUGAAACAUCACCCUGUUACCUCAUCACCAACCAAUCAGAAGAACGUCGUGCACCCUGCAGCCCUCCCCCUAAAGGCUGCUCUGAAAAACCUUUCCCUCCGGGCGUUCAGGUUUUUUGAGCUUGAGCCACCCAUACCCCAUGCUUGGCGCCCUGCAAAUAAACACCAUACGUUCCUUCAUCACAACCCCUCUCAGUAAAUUGGCUUUGUGGCACGGCUGGCAAGCCGACCCGAGUUCAGUUCGGUAAAACUGUCCUUUAAACAUUUGAUAAACUGCUGUUGAAUUCCUUCUUCA
ensembl:lncRNA uncharacterized LOC110255990